rnacentral:lncRNA from 1 species
UGUGUUUUAGGAGUGGUUACCAUAUACAUAACUUUUCUCAAUCUGCUUAGAGUUCAGCUGGCCACUUAAAGUGAAGUAUAGAAACAUUACAGCUAUGUAAAUUCUCUUACCUUCACCCUUUAUGUCAUAUCAUUGAAUCUGAAUAUACUGAAAACACCAUCAGAUAUGUUAUAGUUUUUAUUUCAAAAAUCAUACAAAAAUAUGGGUAUUACACAGAUUUGCAUGCUGUCCUUUCACUGAGGCCAUCCUCAUCUUCUCUGUGGUGUACCAAUUUUAGUAUGUGGGCUGCCAAAGUAGGCAUCUAAUAUGUUUUUGAGGUGCUUCCUUGAUAAAGAUUUAUCCAAAACUUGCACAAAGUUUAUAAAACUUUAAUUAUUAGAAGUACAGUCUAUAUGAUCAUGGAUGUGUUUUUCUUCCCCUGAAGAAAGCUAGAAUUGACUUAACCAAUUAAGAAUUGACAUGAAAGAGUCCAAAAUGAAGUCUUUUUAUCUGAACUAAAGCAGAAUGUGGAAUUAAAAACUAGAAAUAUGCAUGGAAGUAUUUUAUGACCAAAGCAGAAUUUUUUUUUUCAAAAUGACAUGACAUUUUAUAAUAUCAAAACGAUUGGCUAGGGAUGUCCAAAUAGGAGGUAGUAUCUAUAAAUGAAAAGAGAAAUGUACCAUUUUUCAGUACGUGGUAGAUAACUGGAGCAGAUGAAAUGAAAGCCAACUCUGCUAGGUUUGGGAUUAAGCAAAGUAGAGGUCAUAUCACACAGUGUUUAGCUCAUAGCCAAGAAAAUAAUCACAUGUGUAAAGCAUCUUCCAUUUAAAAAAAAACCCCAAACCCUCAAAGGCAUUUUAGCAUGUCAUUUCAUUUACCUUUUUCACAUGGCUAUUGCAAAUACUGUCCACAGUCCAAAGCAGGAAAGUGAUGCGCCUGUGCGGCAUGCAGUGAAGGUGACAGUCUCUUUCUUUAACCUUGUCCUUCCCAGAGUAUGCAGUCAUUGGCUACGAAUGCACAGCUGUGAAGGUGACUGUUUCUCUAAAGGCUUUGAUGAUGUAAGCCUGAAACCUAGGAGGAGAAGAGCAAUUAAACCUCACCUUGAUGAAGCUAUCGUGUACCACGAGGGCUGCCAUUUGGGCUUGGUGACUGUUUUCUUCCGUGAGGAGGAGACAUUUGCACUUGGAGUUGACGGGGAAAUAGCGUGCCAUAAAGGGUGGUCAGGGUAUCUUCCCAUCUUCCCUGCCUAGCAGAUGCCUGAACGUUCAGGAAAGUUCAGCUGUAGUUCCUUCUGCUCUAUGAGGCCUUCCUCUCUGGCCCCUCUGAUUGUGACAAAUAAUCUCUCUCUAUGCUGAAUUAUGUCGCCCUUCCAUCAGCCCAGUUCACGUGGCAGCCUUAGUUUUCCUUUCACGGGACUAUUCUCCCCAAAUAGAUGUCAAUCUCCAUUAAGACCAGAGCAACGUCUUUGCUUCCCCAAAGUGAUUUUCCCAGUGGGCACUAAGGUUGGGAGCGGCAGUUAGGAGAGUAGUUGAGAGCUGGGUUCAAAUCCUAUUCCAUCAUCUCCUACCUGAAUGACUAGGGGAAAGUUACUUAAAUACUCUAUGCCUCAGUUUCCCCACUUGUAAAACUGAGAUAAUAACACUAUCUGUAAAGAUUAAAUAAGUUGACAUAUAGAGUGCUUAGCAUUUUGCCUGGUACCUAAUGAGUACAAUGACUUACUUUUACUAUUAAGUGAUUAAUUUUUCUUAGAAAGCUGUGGACAGGUAAAUAUUUAUAAACAAGGCAAGACAGAGCACAGACGGGAUCAGCUAAAGAGAAGACAAAGAACACAAAUAGAAGUUGCCCAGAUUCCAGAUGCAAAAGACUUAGCACCUGUUGUUUAAGUUGGAACAGCCACUUUGGAAAACCACUUUGGCAGUGUUUACUCAAGAGGAACAUUCUUACACGCUAGAACCAAGCAAUUCUUCUCCUGAGCAUAUAGCCAACAGAAAAGUGUCCACAUAUUGUGAAAGAAUGUUUGAUAGAUAGAAUCAUAGUAACCCCAUGGUAAUCAUUAACCGGAAACUAUGCAAAUGUCCAUCAACAGAAGAAUGGAUAAAUAAAUGGUGGCAAUAAAAAUGGAUGGUUUCCAACUAUGCACAGCAGAAUAGAUGAAUCUCACACCCUAAUGGUGAGCAAAGGAAGCCAGACACCAAUAGACCGUGUUUAUUGUAAGAGUCCAGGUACAAGCUAUGUGCUGUUACAAGUCAGGAUAAUAGUAAACCCAGGUGGAUGAGAGCAGCAGAGGGGGACUAGAACUAGAGAACUUCUAGGAAUGUAGCUAACAUUAUUGUAAGAGUCCAGGUACAAGCUAUGUGCUGUUACAAGUCAGGAUAAUAGUAAACCCAGGUGGAUGAGAGCAGCAGAGGGGGACUAGAACUAGGAACUUUAGGGAUGUAGCUAACAUUUUACUUCUUCAUCUGGGGCUGGUUUCGUGGAUGGGUUCAGAUUGCAAAAUUUUACUGAACUAUACAUUUACAAUAUGUGUGUUUUUCCAUAUGCAUAUUAUACUUCAUUAAGAAACAAACAAAUGAACAAAACCAGAAAUGAGAAAAGCAA